UCAGGAUUCGUUUCGUUUCUUUGCUGGUGGUCUCGUCGCCAUAUUGGACAAGAGUAUGACAAAAGAAGAAGAUGUGUUACGUCGUAUUCCAUAUAAUUGAAGAUCAUUAUAGCGAUAAUGCGCGAUGGAAUGAAUAAAUCGAGCGUCGUGAGUUAAAAACGAAAGGGGAGGGGAAAGAAAAAAAAAUGGCGAAGCAGAAUUAGCAUUCGUUUGUAUAAAAUCAAAAUCUUUACACAUUUCGCGAUUUAAAUUAAUUUUAAGAAACAUACGUACUUAAAUUGACUGCGCGCAAUGCAAUAAGUUACGGAAUAAACGUUUAGCUCUUUUAAAAGUAUUAAGUACUUUUUAAAUGAUUACACACAGAGUCACUUUAUUCCUUAUGAUUAAAAAAUAAAAAAUAUCGCGAAUUAAAUUCAGUGUUGUCUCGUUAAUAAAUAAUUAAUAAUUAUCGUGUAUUAGAAUCGGUGCAUCAUGGAAGAUGAUAAAGUACACGUUCUACAUAAAAGAAUAUUGAUCUUCCUUGCAUUAUCAUUAAAUCUAUUGGAACUACAACCAAACUUCAUUUUCGAUCUAGUUUAUAUCAACCCUACUCAAUUUCAACCAACAACGUGGACGGGUAUUUUGGAGCCAUCAGAGAACUUCAUAAGUAACAAAAGGCGUUAUUAAAAUCAAGCUCGUCGGCACCUUGCGGAAUGGAAGCCGAUGCGAAGUAAAAAAAGAAAGUAGUCAAAGGAGGAAUAAGAAGGGCGGGGAGAUGAAGAGAAAGGAAAAAAAAGGAAAGAUAGAAAGAAAUAAAGAAAGAAGGAGAGGAAUUAAGUAAAAAAGUGAGUCUGACGAAGUUAAUUAAUUCCUACGGCUUUCUCCUAAAAGCGACUUCGGGAGUCUGUCACACUAUUAAUGCCGGCCGUUCACGAACACGAAGUAUACUUGUAUAUAUGUGUGCAUGAUAAAGAGAAAGAAAGAGGGAGAAAGAGAGAGAGGGGGGGAGAGAGAGGAGGAGAGAGGGAGAGAGAGACAGUCCUUGGUCUCUCGUUAAAACUUUUCAAUUAUAAGCGACUUUCUUCUCAGCAAAAAAUUUAUAUAUCAUGAAAACAAAUUGUAAAAUACGAGUAUCAUACGUUUCAACAAAUAAGUUUAAAUU